GCCUUUGCAGCCUCCAUACUUAGCGAUGGCCUCCUGGACCCACUUUCUCUCUCAAACUGUCUUUUCUCAUUCCUUUGACUCUGCUGGACUUCGUCAUCCCCACGACCCGGUGUUGAGUCUGAUCACCCAACAUCAUCAGGAUAGAAGCUUCCCUCUCCUCCUCCAGACCUUGUGGUGUGCACGUGGGAGUCCAGGGACUAGAAUACUCAUUUUCAAAGCCUGACAUUGGACCCGGGAGACAGGGAAAAACCAUCCUCAGGAAGUCACAAAUUUUCCAAGAAUUGCUCUGAGAGGUGGAAGACGAUGUCUGGGAAAGAGAAGUCUAAAUUUGACGAAAUGGCGAAGGCAGAUAAGUACACUAUGAUUGGGAGAUAAAGAAUUAAGAACCAGCUAAGGGAGGCAAGAAGAAGAACCCUAACGCCCCCAAAAGGCCACCAUCUGGAUUCUUCCUUUUCUAUUCAGAAUUCUGCCACAAGAUCAAAUCCACAAACCCUGACAUCUCUAUUGGAGACAUGUCAAAAAGCUGGGUGAGAUGUGGAAUAACUUAAAUGACAGUGAAAAGCAGCCUUACAUCACUAAGGUGGCACAGCUGAAGAAGUAUGAGAAGGAUGUUGCUGACUGUAAGUCUAAAGGAAAGUUUGAUGGCCCAAAGGGUUCCACUAAAGUUGCCUGGAAAAAGGUGGAAGAGGACAACAAAGAAAAUGAGGAGGAUGGAAAAUAAGGAGGAGGGAGAGGAGUAAAAAAUUUAAAAAACUGUUUGUCUCCUUGUGAAUACCUUAGAGCAACAGUCUCCAACCUUUUUGGAACCAGGGACCAGUUUUGUGGGACAGUUUUUCCAUGGAUGGGUUGGGAGAUGGUCUUUGGGAUGAUUCACGCACAGUACAUUUAUUGUGCACUUUAUUUCUAUUAUUAUUACAUUGUAAUAUAUAAUGAAAUAAUUAUAUGACUCACCAUAACGUAGAAUCAGUGGGAGCCCAGAGCUUGUUUUCCUUCAACUAGACAGUCUUUCUGGGGGUGAUGGGAGGCAGUGACAGAUCAUCAGGCAUUAGUUAGAUUCUCAUAAGAAGCAGGUAAACUAGAUCCCUCGUAUGCACAGUUUACAACAGGGUUUGCUCUCCUAUGAGAGCUGCUGCUGAUCUGACAGGAGGCGGAGCUCAGAUGGUAAUGUGAGCCAUGGGGAGUGGUUGUAAAUACAGAUGAAGCUUUGCUCACUUGCCACUCACCUCCUGCUGUGUGGCCUGGUUCCUAACAGGCCACUGACUGGUAUCUAUCUAUGGCCCAGGGGUUGGGGACACCUGCCUUGAAGUAGGGGAGAGCUGUAAUUGACACAUCUCUUAUUUGAGAAGUAUCUGUUGCCCUCAUUAGUUUUAAUUACAAAGUUUGAUUAUGAUCAUAUUGUUGUUUCUCAAACUAGAAACUCUUUACAUGAAGUGGUCAAGUGGGUCUAGAGCACCCUGAAACUAUAUCAAAGUUGUACAUAUUUCCAAAUAUUUUUAAAAUGAAAAGGCAACUUCAUGCUCUCCUCACUCUGUGUGCUUUGCUGUUAGUGUGAUAAGGCAUUUAAAGGUGCUUCUGGCAUUUUUUUUUUUUUAAUUUGUAAGGUAGUGUUAACUACAUGGUUAUUAGCUAGAAAUCCUGAGUUAUCAAUUGCAUAUAUCCAUAGUUUGUAAAACGAACAAAACAACCAAGACAAACUCUUGAUGCUCUUUGCUUGAUGUUGAGGCUGUGGUAGAAGAUGCCUCUGGGAGUGGCCGUAGCUCAGGCUGUGCACUGUGAGGCUGGGCCUGUUGACUAUGCACUGGGCAUCCAUUUAGCUUCAGGUUGUCUUGUUUCUGUAUCUAACCACAUAGCAUUCUGCUACCAUUCCUAGCUGUGAACAAAAGGUGGUCAGCUGGCUUGAAAAGUAUUUACUUUUUGUUUUUGCUUUUUUUUCAGUUAAGUGUGGUAGUUUUUAAACCAUUUGUUUUUAAAGAAAGUGUAGAACAUUUCAUUGUCAACAAAGCGAAGAGCCACUGCAUCAAUGAAAGUUCAAGAACCUUCUGUACUUAAACAUGAUCUCCAACACUCUGUUUUUUUGUAUGUUUAGAAUGCUGAAAUAUUUUUAAAAUUAAAUAAACAGCAUUACAUUUUAAUAAUACAUUACUAAAACUAUUUUCAACAUUUCUCUUACCUUUUUUUAAAUGUGGAUACUAGAAAAUUUUAAAUUACACAUGUGGCUUAUAUUUAAGAAACUGGCAUUAAGUUUCUACUGGACAGCACUGCUACAGAGCAAACAGAACUGGGACUGCUGUUGUUAGGCCCUCAGGUCUUAUUUGGGAUUUUUGCGGAGGGAGGAUUCCUUGUUUUACGAAUGGAGAGAACACAGCCCCAUCCUUUUGAGUUCUUGACAUUUCAACUGGGGUUUAUGUUUCUUUGUGAAAGCAGGAAAUACCAGUUACAUUCCAUAAUAAAUGAUGGAGAUGUGGACUAACCCAAAAAUGAACACAGAGUGAGCCUUUUGUUGGCUUGUGCAAUGGUUAGAAACUGCAUUGAGUCUUUUGAUCAAACCAAUUCUGUUUUCUUGCCCAUAUGAAAAGGAGAAAAUUAUUUAAACAGAUUUCAAAAAAGGAAUGUGGAUAUUGACCAUCAAAAUGAGCCUAGGAAUGCACCAUAUCAUUGACAGCUAGUCUGAACUUUUAUCUAGGGAUAUGUCCUCUUUUAUUUAGGUCUAAACUUCUAUGCAGAAUACUUUUCUCUGAAAUUGAAGAUUAAUCUUCUGAAGCCUAUGAAUUCUAACAUAGCAUUAAAUUACAUAUUUCUUCAAGAGUGUCUUCAUUCAUCAUUUACAUAUAUUUUGAGAGUCUGAGUAACAUGACAGUAGAUUCUAAGAUGGAGUUUACAUUAUACAGUCCCAUACUUCAAGGGCCUUAGCAUUUUCAUUUGUUUAUUCAACAGAUAUUUAUUGAGCACUUACUAUGUGCCAGGCAGUCUACCAGGCAUUAGGGGUGCAAUAGGAAUCAAAAAUAGAAUAAGAUCACUGAUCUACAAAUUACAGCCUACUGUGGGAGGUAGACAUUUAUCAAAUAAUCACAUGUGAGAGAUCUCAGAAGCAGGGAGCAGGGAGAAUUCAAAGCUCAAGUGGAAGGAUGAAUUGUAGACAGGAGGAAGUACGGCUCCUCCGAAUGUAACAGGAGAAGUGAUUCCCCGAAUCCAGUUGGCUGCAAAACAAGUUAAUGUGUUUGAUAUAAAGUGUGUGAGAAGAGAGCAAAACUAGCUGGAAUGCUUAGUAUAUUAUUUUAUAACUCAUCAUCUAGGCAUGGCUAGUUACUCAAGGUAAGGUUUAAUUUAAGAUAAUGUCCGGGAUUUAGAAAUAGACUCAUCUGUUAGUAAAUUGCAGCUUUGGGGUGGCAGGACACAUCAAUAACAGUAGAAGGAGAUACUUGGCAGUAGAGACAGGCUUGUCAUCACCAUCUAGGAAAUCUAUAAUGUACAAAGACUGGGCUUCUGUACUGGCAGAAACCCUUCAGCAGGUCUAAGCAGCAAGGCAGGAUAACAUUGCAAAAACUCAAAACAUAGGUCAAGAUAGAAUUCUAGUAUCUUGAAUUGAGCAUACAGAAUGUGAGGACAUGGGGAGUUGGAGGACAGAGAUAAUGACACUCAAGAUAAAAACUCAGGUUUAGGAGUAUUCUUAUCAGAAAUAUUCAGGAAAAAGCCUUUAUUUGGAGAACACUGUGGCAGUCCAGUGGCCAGGACUGGCCAUAACCUGGGGUAGAUUAGCAAGUGUAAUCAGUGCUGCAAUACCAUGGGCAGGAUUAGCCUGUUAGGGAGCAAGGCUUACUCCCAAGUUCCCCAAGGAUGUGGAACUUUAAAUAGGUUUUGA
rnacentral:lncRNA from 1 species